rnacentral:rRNA from 1 species
UACGUAGGGUGCAAGCGUUGUCCGGAAUUAUUGGGCGUAAAGAGCUUGUAGGCGGUUUGUCGCGUCUGCUGUGAAAUUUCGGGGCUCAACCCCGAACUUGCAGUGGGUACGGGCAGACUAGAGUGUGGUAGGGGAGACUGGAAUUCCUGGUGUAGCGGUGAAAUGCGCAGAUAUCGGGAAGAACACCCGUGGCGAAGGCGGUUCUCUGGGACGGUACUGACGCUGAGACGCGAAAGCGCGGGGAGCGAACGGG